rnacentral:rRNA from 1 species
UGCCAGCCGCCGCGGUAAGACGGAGGGUGCAAACGUUGUUCGGAAUCACUGGGCAUAAAGCGCACGUAGGCGGUCCAUUAAGUCUGAAGUGAAAUCCUUCGGCUCAACCGGAGAACUGCUUCGGAUACUGAUGGACUUGAGGAUGGUAGGGGUGCGAGGAACUUCCGGUGGAGCGGUGAAAUGCGUUGAUAUCGGAAGGAACACCGGUGGCGAAGGCGUCGCACUGGACCGGUACUGACGCUGAGGUACGAAAGCGUGGGGAGCGAACAGGAUUAGAUA